rnacentral:rRNA from 1 species
UACGUAGGGUGCGAGCGUUACUCGGAAUUACUGGGCGUAAAGCGCGCGCAGGCGGCUUCGCAAGUCGAGUGUGAAAUCCCCGAGCUUAACUUGGGAAUUGCGCUCGAAACUACGGAGCUGGAGUGCGGCAGAGGAAGGUGGAAUUCCACGUGUAGCGGUGAAAUGCGUAGAGAUGUGGAGGAACACCGAUGGCGAAGGCAGCCUCCUGGGCCGGCACUGACGCUCAUGCGCGAAAGCGUGGGGAGCAAACAGG